AAGAUUGACCGAAAGGUCUUAUCUCUAUAUCCCUCACCCCUGUGAACUGUGGACCUCCGGGUCUAUUUAACAAACAUCAGUGUAAUGAACGUAUAUAUCAUUAAACAAAACA
rnacentral:misc_RNA from 1 species